rnacentral:rRNA from 1 species
AUUGAACGCUGGCGGCAUGCCUUACACAUGCAAGUCGAACGGUAACGCGGGGCAACCUGGCGACGAGUGGCGAACGGGUGAGUAAUGUAUCGGAACGUGCCCAGCUGUGGGGGAUAACUGCUCGAAAGAGCAGCUAAUACCGCAUACGACCUGAGGGUGAAAGCGGGGGAUCGCAAGACCUCGCGCAAUUGGAGCGGCCGAUAUCAGAUUAGGUAGUUGGUGGGGUAAAGGCCUACCAAGCCUACGAUCUGUAGCUGGUCUGAGAGGACGACCAGCCACACUGGGACUGAGACACGGCCCAGACUCCUACGGGAGGCAGCAGUGGGGAAUUUUGGACAAUGGGGGAAACCCUGAUCCAGCCAUGCCGCGUACGGGAAGAAGGCCUUCGGGUUGUAAACCGCUUUUGUCAGGGAAGAAAUCCUUUGAACUAAUACUUCGGAGGGAUGACGGUACCUGAAGAAUAAGCACCGGCUAACUACGUGCCAGCCGCCGCAGUAA